GAUGAACGCUGGCGGCGUGCCUAAUACAUGCAAGUCGAGCGAACAGACGAGGAGCUUGCUCCUCUGACGUUAGCGGCGGACGGGUGAGUAACACGUGGAUAACCUACCUAUAAGACUGGGAUAACUUCGGGAAACCGGAGCUAAUACCGGAUAAUAUAUUGAACCGCAUGGUUCAAUAGUGAAAGACGGUUUUGCUGUCACUUAUAGAUGGAUCCGCGCCGCAUUAGCUAGUUGGUAAGGUAACGGCUUACCAAGGCAACGAUGCGUAGCCGACCCGAGAGGAAGAACAGCGACACUGGAACUGAGACACGGUGCAGACUCAUACGGGAGGCACAAGGGGGGAAUAGUGGACAAUGGGAGCAGUGCUGAUCGAGCAAUACUGAGUGAAUGAAGAAAGCAUUCGAGUUGUAAAGCGACUUUGUUGGGAAAGAAAAGAAGCAGGUUAAUACAGCGCUGUUCGGACGGUACCAAAAGAAUAAGCACAGGCUAAGUUCGUG
rnacentral:rRNA from 1 species